ensembl:lncRNA
UGUAGUGGGCUGGUCUGGAGAGAAAAUGCCAGGGCUGAAUUUUUCUCCCAGUCCACCCCUGCCCACGUGUCAAAAGGGAAUCAAAAGGAAUAAAAGGAAUAAAAGAGUGCUGUUCAGCUCAGAAUAUGUACCAGGAUGGUCCCCUAAAAUAAAUAAAUGAAAGAAAGAGAUAAAAAACAGAUGGCAUAAAAAAUGGGUCUUUGAAAAAACAGGUUAAAAUGAAUGAAAUAAUAAAUAAAAGGGGGGGGGGGUUCUUUUUCUAAAAGGCCUGACGUUUCGUUGUAAUCCAACCUCUUCAGAGGCCAGGGUCUGGGUUAGCCUUUAGAUCAAAGCCCCGUUAACCCGGACACUGAAAUGGUGGAGCUCUCUCUGGGCCUUAACAACAGGGAGCCUGGGGGGGAGGGCAGGGGCCAGCUCCAUGCACUCUGCAGUAAGGCCUCAGAGCGCUAUCCCCAAGACACCAUCUAUGACCCAGACAUCCACUUCUCCUGGUACCUAUCCAGACCGUCUCCCCAUAACCCCAACCCUCACCCUGACCCCCACCAUAACCUCAUCCACCACCAGGUCUCCCCAUAACCCCAACCCUCACCCUGACCCCCACCAUAACCUCAUCCACCACCAGGUCUCCCCAUAACCCCAACCCUCACCCUGACCCCCACCAUAACCUCAUCCACC